ACUCAAAGGAGACUGCCAGUGAUAAACUGGAGGAAGGUGGGGAUGACGUCAAGUCAUCAUGGCCCUUACGACCAGGGCUACACACGUGCUACAAUGGCAUAUACAAAGAGAAGCGACCUCGCGAGAGCAAGCGGACCUCAUAAAGUAUGUCGUAGUCCGGAUUGGAGUCUGCAACUCGACUCCAUGAAGUCGGAAUCGCUAGUAAUCGUAGAUCAGAAUGCUACGGUGAAUACGUUCCCGGGCCUUGUACACACCGCCCGUCACACCAUGGGAGUGGGUUGCAAAAGAAGUAGGUAGCUUAACCUUCGGGAGGGCGCUUACCACUUUGUGAUUCAUGACUGGGGUGAAGUCGUAACA
rnacentral:rRNA from 1 species